UUUUUUUUUUUCUUUUCUUUUUUUCUAAAAGUUGAAAGGCUCUGAGUUUCUCAGCAGAAAAGAAGCUGGAAGAACUAGGGCCGUCCCGUUUAUCCGCUGUUGCUGUUCCUCUUUCCAUGGCUGGGGUUACCCAAAGUCAACUGCUGUUGGGAAGCAGAUGCUCCUCCUCCUGACGUGUCCUUAGAAGGUCAAGGGUAACCUAACGCUGUGUGACAGUGCCUGUGACCAUCACCGCACUUCAUCUCAUCACCCAGGCGUUUCUUCAGGUCACCUCAUCCCAAGAAAAAGGGAACAGGAAACACUACCAUAAGGAAGAAGUACUCUUUUUAUACACCGUGUUGAUCCAAAAUGGACAGCCUUCUUCAGUGGCUCCCACUUCCAUAAUGGAGUGAAGUAAGAAGCAGUAGUUAAAGCUGCCUGGCUCCCCGUGUAGCUGUGUGACCUCAGAGCCGAGGCACAACGUCCUGACCUGCAUUGUUCCUGCCCCAGACCUUGGAUCUGCCAAAUCCACAAGGAUCUCUGCUUCCUGUUAGAGGGAGGCAACAUUUACACACAAAACUCCUUUCCCUGAAGACUGAUAAUCAAAUGGAAGAAAAAGAAACUUUUUGUCUUGCUUUUCUGGUACAAGCUCUACUUUGGGGUAAACAAGGAGCCCCAGAAGACGAAGGGAAGCUCUUCUGUUUUUGUUUUUGUUUUUAAGCUCUUCUUUACUGAGGAAUUCCAGCUAGUGUUUGUAGACCAGAAGGAACGGUAGAACUAGAAAACUAGCAUUUUGCAGAGCAGAAAGCUUUAUUGUGGAAAAAUCUUGGCUGUCACCACCUUAAACCAGUGAUCAAUCUCAGUGUCACUGAGAGCAGGACAAUGACAUGGUAAUACAUUAGAUGGGAUCAUGGUGUUGGAAUCAGGAAGAAAAAUGUCCUUAUCUUUCUUUUGAACUGCUCUUACUGUGGUAUAAUUUAUGUACCAUUCCGUUCGCCCAUUUAAAGUGCAAAAUUCAGUGGCUCGGAGUAUAAUCACAGAGUAGGGCCUCUAUCUCCACAGUCCAUUUUAGAAUUUUAGGAUAUUUUCAUUACCCCCCCAAAUAAACCCCACACCCCUUAACCAUCACGCGCUAGUG